rnacentral:rRNA from 1 species
GACGAACGCUGGCGGCGUGCCUAAUACAUGCAAGUAGAACGCUGAAGGAGGAGCUUGCUCUUCUGGAUGAGUUGCGAACGGGUGAGUAACGCGUAGGUAACCUGCCUGGUAGCGGGGGAUAACUAUUGGAAACGAUAGCUAAUACCGCAUAACAACAGUUGUUGCAUGACAGCUGUUUAAAAGAUGCAAUUGCAUCACUACCAGAUGGACCUGCGUUGUAUUAGCUAGUUGGUGAGGUAACGGCUCACCAAGGCAACGAUACAUAGCCGACCUGAGAGGGUGAUCGGCCACACUGGGACUGAGACACGGCCCAGACUCCUACGGGAGGCAGCAGUAGGGAAUCUUCGGCAAUGGACGGAAGUCUGACCGAGCAACGCCCGCGUGAGUGAAAGAAAGGGUUUUCGGGAUCGUAAAAGCUCUGUGUAAAG